rnacentral:rRNA from 1 species
GACGAACGCGGCGGCGUGCCUAAUACAUGCAAGUUGAGCGCUGAAGGUUGGUACUUGUACCAACUGGAUGAGCAGCGAACGGGUGAGUAACGCGUGGGGAAUCUGCCUUUGAGCGGGGGACAACAUUUGGAAACGAAUGCUAAUACCGCAUAAAAACUUUAAACACAAGUUUUAAGUUUGAAAGAUGCAAUUGCAUCACUCAAAGAUGAUCCCGCGUUGUAUUAGCUAGUUGGUGAGGUAAAGGCUCACCAAGGCGAUGAUACAUAGCCGACCUGAGAGGGUGAUCGGCCACAUUGGGACUGAGACACGGCCCAAACUCCUACGGGAGGCAGCAGUAGGGAAUCUUCGGCAAUGGACGAAAGUCUGACCGAGCAACGCCGCGUGAGUGAAGAAGGUUUUCGGAUCGUAAAACUCUGUUGGUAGAGAAGAACGUUGGUGAGAGUGGAAAGCUCAUCAAGUGA